CUGAAAUGUUGACCUCGGAUCAGGUAGGAAUACCCGGGUCAAA
rnacentral:rRNA from 1 species